rnacentral:lncRNA from 1 species
CUCCUCCUCCUUGUCUUGCCUCUCUUCUAAAAGGUGGUGUUGUUUGCCGAAGAUGCUGUCAACUCGACCUCUGUCUGCUCCUUUCCUGCCUCCUCUCAGGUGUUCUUGGCAGUGCACUACACUUCGCAGUGUCCUGUGGAGCAAGUGCUGUCAUCUUCACCCUCACUAUAAGAGUAGAAAUCAGCCCCAGGUAAAUGUGACUGUAUACACCCAGGCUUUGUCUCAUUGCAAAGGCUGAGCUCUUAACUCCUCCUCAAAGUAACUACCCACAAACACUGAAAUGAAAGACAUCCUAUUUUAAAAUGUGUCAGGGUUUUUUAUAAUUCCUUUAUAGAGUUAGAAGAAUUUCACAGUGCAUCAGUGGGAGGAAGGGAAGAACACCCUUCAAACUCAGGAGUGUGAGUGAGUCUGAAAUACACUGACAUAGUCAAAUCAGCUGCAGAAUUCUGGGAGAGAGGCAUCCCUCAAAGGAGGAACGAACACCCCAAACUCCAUCAGGACCUAUAAGCUUCCCAAGCAUCUUCUUCAUGGUUAAGGAGGGCCAUGGGCAGGCCAGGAGGACAGUGACCUGGGC